AAUAAAAAUUAAAAUCAGAUGAUCCAAACACGCUAUAUCAUCAUAAACCACCUAACUGUAUUUUUGUCCAGACAUUACAACUUCUGAGAGACAGAUUCCGAGCUUGCAUGGAGAUUGAAUCCUCCCCUUCAACGUCAUCGUCGGCAUUGUAUUCCUCCGAUCAACAUCACGUUCCUCAUAAAUGGCUCGAGGUUCAGGAUUCGCUGAAGAAGAAAUUAGUCACCGAAGAUGAUUACACCUGGAAAUUAGCGGAAACAGGAGAGGGUUGUGGAGUAGAAUUGUUGAAGUACAUCGGCGGAGUUGAUAUAAGUUUCUCCAAAGAUGAUCCGUCAGUUGCUUGCGGAACCCUCGUUGUUUUGGAUUUCAAAACUCUCGAUGUCGUUUAUGAGGAUUCGUCUAUCGUUACCAUCGAUGUUCCAUAUGUUCCCGGCUUUCUUGGCUUUAGAGAGGCUCCUAUAUUUCUAAAACUAUUGGAGAAAAUGCAAAACGGUUCUCAUCCUUUCUACCCUCAGUUAUUGAUGAUUGAUGGAAAUGGCAUACUUCAUCCUCGAGGCUUUGGCUCAGCUUGUCAUCUUGGGGUUCUGGCUAAUCUUCCUACAAUUGGUAUAGGGAAGAAUUUGCAUCAUGUGGAUGGUCUUACUAACUCAAAAGUAAGGGAGCUGUUUGAAGCUGAAGAGAAUUACAACAUAGACUUCAUUUAUUUAAUUGGGGACUCAGGGAACACUUUAGGAGCUGCAUUACAUUCAAGUAAAGGAUCAUUUAAACCAAUAUUUGUUUCAAUAGGCCACCGUGUAUCUUUGGCUUCUGCCGUUGAAGUUGUUAGAAGAACAUGCAACUACCGUGUCCCCGAGCCCAUUCGCCAGGCUGACAUAAGAUCAAGAGAGUAUCUUCGGAAGCAUCAUUGAAUUGUGUUGGGAUGUUGUAACUUGUAACUGCACUUUACUUACUUGAUGACACAGUGGCAUUCAAAUACAAUGGAGGUUGGUUUAAAUUAACUUUUUAACAAUAAAAGCCGGAGGAUUUCAGGAGCAGCAGCAGCAGCAGUAGACAGUCAGUUCCCGAUCAGAUCAGCAGCUACUUUGAGGUAUCUCUUCAGCCAAGGGGAAGGAGCAGGCGCGGUAGCGGCUCAUCACACACACACACCCUUUGAUUCCGCAUUUAUGAGUUUACCCUGGGAUUGAUACUCUGACAUUUUGGUUGUUUAACUGUUAUGGAUUUCAAAUUCGGUUUUCGAUGUGAAAUGGUUUAAUUAAGCAAUGUUUUAAUUAUUAAUGUUUUCUAAAGUAAUGUUUUAAAAACGAAA